AAUGGGCGAAAGCCUGACGGAGCAACGCCGCGUGAGGGAUGAAGGCCUCUGGGCUGUAAACCUCUUUUAUCAAGGAAGAAGAUCUGACGGUACUUGAUGAAUAAGCCACGGCUAAUUCCGUGCCAGCGGCCGCGGUAAUACGGGAGUGGCAAGCGUUAUCCGGAAUUAUUGGGCGUAAAGCGUCCGCAGGCGGCCCUUCAAGUCUGCUGUUAAAAAGUGGAGCUUAACUCCAUCAUGGCAGUGGAAACUGUUGGGCUUGAGUGUGGUAGGGGCAGAGGGAAUUCCCGGUGUAGCGGUGAAAUGCGUAGAUAUCGGGAAGAACACCAGUGGCGAAGGCGCUCUGCUGGGCCAUCACUGAUGCUCAUGGACGAAAGCCAGGGGAGCGAAAGGGAUU
rnacentral:rRNA from 1 species